rnacentral:rRNA from 1 species
UACGGGGAGGGCAAGCGUUGUUCGGAUUUACUGGGCGUAAAGGGCGCGUAGGCGGUCGUGACAAGUCACUUGUGAAAUCUCCGGGCUUAACUCGGAACGGUCAAGUGAUACUGUCGGACUAGAGUACAGAAGGGGCAACUGGAAUUCUCGGUGUAGCGGUGAAAUGCGUAGAUAUCGAGAGGAACACCUGCGGCGAAGGCGGGUUGCUGGGCUGAUACUGACGCUGAGGCGCGAAAGCCAGGGGAGCGAACGGG